GGAGUUAGCCGGUGCUUCUUCUGUGAGUGAUGUCCUUCCUGCCGGCUAUUAACCCGCAGGCCUUCUUCCUCACUGAAAGUGCUUUACAACCCGAAGGCCUUCUUCACACACGCGGCAUGGCUGGAUCAGGGUUGCCCCCAUUGUCCAAUAUUCCCCACUGCUGCCUCCCGUAGGAGUCUGGGCCGUGUCUCAGUCCCAGUGUGGCUGAUCAUCCUCUCAGACCAGCUACGGAUCGUCGCCUUGGUGAGCCGUUACCUCACCAACCAGCUAAUCCGACAUAGGCUCAUCCGAUAGCGCGAGGCCCGAAGGUCCCCCGCUUUCCCCCGUAGGGCGUAUGCGGUAUUAGCCUGGGUUUCCCCCAGGUUAUCCCCCACUACCGGGCAGAUUCCUAUGCAUUACUCACCCGUCCGCCGCUCGCCACCAGGGAGCAAGCUCCCCGUGCUGCCGCUCGACUUGCAUGUGUAGCUGCGCCAGCGUCAUCUGAGCCAGAACUACGAACCCGUACGA
rnacentral:rRNA from 1 species